AAAACAUUGUAUAAAUGUCCUUCAGCCUCUGUUUUGACCAAUAGUCAUUACUCUGAAUACUUUGAUUUACACCGUGGGACCCGGCAGGGUUGCCCACUAAGCCCACUCCUUUUCGGAAUUGCCAUUGAGCCUCUUGCAAUUGCCUUACGUAGCAAUGGGCGGGUACAGGGAAUAUGGAGGGGAGGAGUCGAACAUAAAGUCUCGCUGUAUGCAGGCGACCUACUUCUGUUUGUUUCAAAACCAACCACUUCUCUACCAGAAGCCCUCACGAUCUUAGAUAAUUUCAGUCAAUUUAAAUAAAAGCGAACUAUUCCCAAUUAAUAAAGAAGCUCUUAAACUUAACUAUACCCAUCUCCCAUUGAAGGUGGU
rnacentral:misc_RNA from 1 species